UGAACGCUGGCGGCGUGCCUAAUACAUGCAAGUCGAGCGAACAGACGCGGAGCUUGCUCCUCUGACGUUAGCGGCGGACGGGUGAGUAACACGUGGAUAACCUACCUAUAAGACUGGGAUAACUUCGGGAAACCGGAGCUAAUACCGGAUAAUAUAUUGAACCGCAUGGUUUAAUAGUGAAAGACGGUUUUGCUGUCACUUAUAGAUGGAUCCGCGCCGCAUUAGCUAGUUGGUAAGGUAACGGCUUACCAAGGCAACGAUGCGUAGCCGACCUGAGAGGGUGAUCGGCCACACUGGAACUGAGACACGGUCCAGACUCCUACGGGAGGCAGCAGUAGGGAAUCUUCCGCAAUGGGCGAAAGCUUGACGGAGCAACGCCGCGUGAGUGAUGAAGGUCUUCGGAUCGUAAAACUCUGUUAUUAGGGAAGAACAAAUGUGUAAGUAACUAUGCACGUCUUGACGGUACCUAAUCAGAAAGCCACGGCUAACUACGUG
rnacentral:rRNA from 1 species